rnacentral:rRNA from 1 species
UACGUAGGUGGCAAGCGUUGUCCGGAUUUACUGGGCGUAAAGAGCGCGCAGGCGGUCGUGCAAGUCGCGUGUGAAAGCCCCCGGCUCAACUGGGGAGGGUCACGCGAUACUGAUCGACUCGAAGGCAGGAGAGGGUAGUGGAAUUCCGAGUGUAGAGGUGAAAUUCGUAGAUAUUCGGAAGAACACCAGUGGCGAAGGCGACUUACUGGACACAUAUUGACGCUGAGGUGCGAAAGCGUGGGGAGCAAACAGG